rnacentral:lncRNA from 1 species
CACAAUCAAUUACCUCCUGAAUGUAUUGUCUCUAUUUCUAAUAUCUGAAUACACAAGGAAACUAUAAUUUCUUCCUUCACCUUAUCAAUUUCUUCCUUACAGUAAUUCAGUCAUACCAAUAACUACUAUUUAUACUAAUAUAUUCAUCCUCAUAAUCUCCAACUGUAAUACUACGCCCUCACAACUUUCAACACACAAUUACCCUCGUUCCAAUCUAUGGAAUUCUUCACAUAGAACUACCAUUCACAUUACAAUAUUUUACAUAAACACAGACUCAUUCUCUCUGCUGAACUACAAUCAGAUUUCAGCAUUCAAUCUUUCUUCUUCUCAAAUAAUACCAAUCACAUUUCCAUUCCAUAAUUCACUUCACAAUAUUCAGAAACUUUCAAUCUUUUUAUUCAAAGAAAAUAACAAACAAAAGAAUAGAGGUAGUACCAAGCUUAUCUUUGCUCACAAUUCUCACAGUCUGGCCCUCGGCU